rnacentral:rRNA from 1 species
AUGCAAAGCACGUUGUGCACCCAAGAGGUGACUCUUGGUGACGAAGGAGUUCAUGUCGUCAUCUUGCUCCAUGAAGAGUGGGUUGGUAGAAGUACUUGGCCUAUCCAUCAUGAGAAAGUGGUGGUGAGUAGGAAAAAUGAGAGAACAAAACCAAAGUUACCUUUUCCGAAGAUUGUGGAUGUAACAAGUACGAUCUCACGAUGCUAUAAUAGGGGAAUUGGUACCGGGAAUUGUUUCUCACACCUACAAGUAAAAGGCUUAUGGAGGAGCUCGGUUAGGAUGGUGGCAAAAAUUUCAAGCAAAUGUUAG